UGGGGAAUUUUGGACAAUGGGCGAAAGCCUGAUCCAGCAAUGCCGCGUGUGUGAAGAAGGCCUUCGGGUUGUAAAGCACUUUUGUCCGGAAAGAAAUCCUUGGCUCUAAUACAGUCGGGGGAUGACGGUACCGGAAGAAUAAGCACCGGCUAACUACGUGCCAGCAGCCGCGGUAAUACGUAGGGUGCAAGCGUUAAUCGGAAUUACUGGGCGUAAAGCGUGCGCAGGCGGUUUGCUAAGACCGAUGUGAAAUCCCCGGGCUCAACCUGGGAACUGCAUUGGUGACUGGCAGGCUAGAGUAUGGCAGAGGGGGGUAGAAUUCCACGUGUAGCAGUGAAAUGCGUAGAGAUGUGGAGGAAUACCGAUGGCGAAGGCAACCCCCUGGGCCAAUACUGACGCUCAUGCACGAAAGCGUGGGGAGCAAACAGGAUUAGAUACCCUGGUAGUCCACGCCCUAAACGAUGUCAACUAGUUGUUGGGGAUUCAUUUCCUUAGUAACGUAGCUAACGCGUGAAGUUGACCGCCUGGGGAGUACGGUCGCAAGAUUAAAACUCAAAUGAAUUGACGGGGUCAUAGCUGUUUCCU
rnacentral:rRNA from 1 species